rnacentral:tRNA from 1 species
AUUUGUAUAGUUUAACAAAAACAUUACAUUUUCACUGUAAAAUUAGGCCUCUCUUACAAAUU